GAACCCUAACUGGAUGUAAAUCUAUCUGAAAAGGGUGCAGGACUAUUAAACCUUAUAAAGAAAGCAAAACAUAACCUUGUAGAUGUGCUGGUUUAAAGCUACUUUAGUUGAUAAAGAGCUAAUGACUCUCCGACGCAAGUUCUAUAACAGACCUCAAUUUUAUGGUCAAAUAUUUCUGGUUUCUACCAAAGUUGUGAUCAACAUUUUGGGUUUCCGUUUCACCGUCAGAUCCACUCCCCCUGUGCAAAAUAAUCCAUUAUAUACAUAAUACAAAUACAUUAGUUUAGCUAAGUGGUCACAUUGAAUUAAUAAUCCUAUGACUGAAUGAAAGCAGAAAUUUUAACCACAUUAAACAUGACAAAGCUGGUGACAGUAGCUGCUCUGAUAGAAACCCAAUCCCCUUCUGUGUUUGUCAGUAACCAUGCUUUGGCAUGCCACCGAGUUAAUGCUCCACCACUGUUGCCUAGGAGGUAAUUAUGGCCCACAGUCAAAGGCCUGUAAAAUAAAACCACACACAUGCAGGUACUCACACUCAAGGUGUCUAUAGGUUGCCAUAGAGAACAAAGGCACUAGUUCCACAACAUGUGUGCAGGUUUAAAGGUUAUGACCAGUGUUUGAACACUAUUUACCUCUGGAGUCCUGAACAGCUGAACAGCACACUGUGGGGUCUUAAAUUUUGCUCAAUCAUGGGUUGUAACACAAGCCGCGGAGUCAUGGUGGUGGAUCCCUCUGAGAAACCCGAGGAGAGGCCAAAGACAGCCGCUUCAACCAAAGAGGCAUCUUCUGAGGAAGCUAAUGGAACAACAGACAAAGAAAAGGAAGAGAAAACAGAGAGUUCUGGCUGAGCACGAUCAACACUUCAUCUUUAACUUCUCUCAAAUGUGUACAGAUUGGCCUGUCCGGGUUGAAGGAGGGCCUGUCAGCAGGAGGAGGAGGCGACGCUGCACUACUGUCCAUCAACCUUUAUGUCAUCUGGACCAGGCGCACACACACACACAAAUACACACACUUCUGAAGAAUUACAGCUCCUGUUCAUAACCUACAGACUAUUUUGUGAUAAACACACUGAAUCAAA